AUUGAACGCUGGCGGCAUGCCUUACACAUGCAAGUCGAACGGUAACAGGUCUUCGGAUGCUGACGAGUGGCGAACGGGUGAGUAUUACAUCGGAACGUGCCCGAGAGUGGGGGAUAACGAGGCGAAAGCUUUGCUAAUACCGCAUACGAUCUCAGGAUGAAAGCAGGGGACCGCAAGGCCUUGCGCUCACGGAGCGGCCGAUGGCAGAUUAGGUAGUUGGUGGGAUAAAAGCUUACCAAGCCGACGAUCUGUAGCUGGUCUGAGAGGACGAUCAGCCACACUGGGACUGAGACACGGCCCAGACUCCUACGGGAGGCAGCAGUGGGGAAUUUUGGACAAUGGGCGCAAGCCUGAUCCAGCAAUGCCGCGUGCAGGAUGAAGGCCUUCGGGUUGUAAACUGCUUUUGUACGGAACGAAAAGCCCUGGGUUAAUACCCUGGGGUCAUGACGGUACCGUAAGAAUAAGCACCGGCUAACUACGUGCCAGCCGCCGCGGUAAGAC
rnacentral:rRNA from 1 species